rnacentral:rRNA from 1 species
GAUGAACGCUGGUGGCGUGCCUAACACAUGCAAGUCGAGCGAUUCUCUUCGGAGAAGAGCGGCGGACGGGUGCGUAACGCGUGGGUAACCUGCCCUGUACCCACGGAUAACAUACCGAAAGGUAUGCUAAUACGAGAUAACAUGCUUUUAUCGCAUGGUAGAAGUAUCAAAGCUUUUGCGGUACAGGAUGGACCCGCGUCUGAUUAGCUAGUUGGUGAGGUAACGGCUAACCAAGGCGACGAUCAGUAGCCGACCUGUGAGGGUGAUCGGCCACAUUGGAACUGAGACACGGUCCAAACUCCUACGGGGAGCAGCAGUGGGGAAUAUUGCACAAUGGGCGAAAGCCUGAUGCAGCAACGCCGCGUGAGCGAUGAAGGCCUUCGGGUCGUAAAGCUCUGUCCUCAAGGAAGAUAAUGACGGUACUUGAGGAGGAAGCCCCGGCUAACUACGUG